AAAGAUUAAGCCAUGCAUGUCUAAGUAUAAGCAAUUAUACAGCGAAACUGCGAAUGGCUCAUUAUAUAAGUUAUCGUUUAUUUGAUAGUACCUUACUACUUGGAUAACCGUGGUAAUUCUAGAGCUAAUACAUGCUAAAAAUCCCGACUUCGGAAGGGAUGUAUUUAUUAGAUUAAAAACCAAUGCCCUCCCGGGCUCACUGGUGAUUCACGAUAACUUCUCGAAUCGCAUGGCCUUGCGCCGGCGAUGGUUCAUUCAAAUUUCUUCCCUAUCAACUUUCGAUGUUUGGGUAUUGGCCAAACAUGGUUG
rnacentral:rRNA from 1 species